CCUUCCCCCUAAUCCUCUAGUGGCUGUCUCAUUGACAGCCACUAGAGGCGCUUGCGUGCUUCUCACUGUGAUUUUCACAGUGAGAGCACGCAAGCGUCCAUAGGAAAGCAUUGUAAAUGUUUUCCUAUGCGACGGGCUGAAUGCGCGCGCAGCUCUUGCCGCGCGUGCGCAUUCAGCCCAGGAGGAGGAACGGAGGAGGAGAGCUCCCCGCCCAGCGCUGGAAAAAGGUAAGUUUUUAACCCUUUCCCCCUUCCAGAGCCGGGCGGGAGGGGGUCCCUGAGGGUGGGGGCACCCUCAGGGCACUAUAGUGCCAG
rnacentral:lncRNA from 1 species